AGUGAACGCUGGCGGUAGGCCUAACACAUGCAAGUCGAACGGCAGCACAGUAAGAGCUUGCUCUUACGGGUGGCGAGUGGCGGACGGGUGAGGAAUACAUCGGAAUCUACUUUUUCGUGGGGGAUAACGUAGGGAAACUUACGCUAAUACCGCAUACGACCUACGGGUGAAAGCAGGGGAUCUUCGGACCUUGCGCGAUUGAAUGAGCCGAUGUCGGAUUAGCUAGUUGGCGGGGUAAAGGCCCACCAAGGCGACGAUCCGUAGCUGGUCUGAGAGGAUGGCGAGCCACACUGGAACGGAGACACGGCCCAGCCUCCGACGGGAGGCGCCAGUGGGGAAUAUGGGACAAUGGGCGCAGGCUUGCUCCAGCCAUCCCGGGGGGGGGAAAAAGGCCUUGGGUUUGUAAAGCCUUUUUGUGGGGAAAAAAAACCAGGAGUUUAAUCCCCCGCUUUUCUGACGGUCCCAAAAAAAAAAGCCCCGGCUACCUUCGUG
rnacentral:rRNA from 1 species